GAAACGCGAUAGUUAAUGUGAAUUGCAGAAUUCAGUGAAUCAUCGAGUCUUUGAACGCACAUUGCGCCCAUAGGUAUUCCUUUGGGCAUGUCUGUUUGAGCGUCAUUACAACCCUCAGCUAACCGCUGGUUUUGAACCUGAACGGGUGACACCGCGCCGGUUUUAAAGUUGUAAGCUCUGCUGGCCGCUCUGCCCAACCAGAACAUAGUAAGCACUACUUGUCCGGGUGAAGCUGAACGGUACGGCCUGAACAAAACCUACCCACUCUCAAGGUUUGACCUCAGCUCAGACAAGGAUACCCGCUGAACUUCAGC
rnacentral:misc_RNA from 1 species